rnacentral:lncRNA from 1 species
GCAUCUGCAUUAUUGUUUGUUCUUUGGAAAAACUUCAUACACUGUUAGACGCUAUCUCAAGAAAAGUAUGUCCAUUUUUUUCUUCCAUUAGUAGUACAAAUAUAUUUUCAUCAAGAUAGAGUCUAUCUCAAGAAAAGUAUGUCCAUUUUUUUCUUCCAUUAGUAGUACAAAAACGUAACUUGAAAUAAUUCCUCACUUGAGGCCUACUGAAUACAAGAGGCCAGGAAACGGUGCUGAUGAUUAUGGUGGUGUGUUGGUGGAAGAGGUUUUGAAUAUCCAGAAAAGCUACCUGCCAAGAAGAGCUAAGCCUUUAAUGCACUGGAUGAAUUUUCUGAUAGUGCAGGCUACCAAUUUUGUAUGUACCUUAAAAUGUCAUAUUGAACCUGAAAUGAUGAUGCAAAGAAUACGUUAAAUGAAGCUAAGAAAAUUAAUUAGUGGAGGGGGAGAAAAAUAGACAAGUCUUUGUUUGACAUCCCAACCAACAAUAAAUGCACUCCUUUUUUUUAGGGUUCGGAUGGUUUUGUGUAAAUAUGAGUCUCUGAUUAAAUAUAUUUUAAGAUUUUCUUUUAAGGCAUUGUGAAGUAGCACCUUUUUAUUUUUGAAACAGAAAGCAUAUUUUAUAUAUAUAUAUAUAUAUAUAAAGUUAAAUAGAGAGGGAUGGUUUCCCCCUAUGGAUGUUUGACAUACAUGCAUCAUUAGAAUCUAUCAUUAGGCUACAUAUGACACUCAUAUUUCCUAGUGCAGCUAGAUCUUCACAUUGUUUAACACUACUAGUUCAUACAUAAACAUAGUCCUCCAUAUCCUUCUCAUGGACGGCC